GAUGAACGCUGGCGGCGUGCUUAACACAUGCAAGUCGAACGAAGUGUUUCUUUCCUGGCGCACUUAGUGUUGGACGGGUGCGUAUGCGUGAGUAACCUGUCCUGUACAUGUAAACAACAGCUGAAUACGGCUGCUAAUACCGCAUAAGCCCUUAGCACUGCAUGGUGCUUAGGCAAAAGGAGCAAUCCGGUACAGUAUCGAUUCUCGUCUGAUUAGCCAGUUGGGAGGGUGACGGUCUACCAAAGCAAUGAUCAGUAGCCGAUCUGAGAGGGAGAACGGCCACACGGAAACUGAGACACGGCCCAGACUCGUACGGGAGGCAGCAGGAGGGAAUCCUCCGCAAUGGGCGAAAGGCUGACGGAGCAACGCCGCGUGAGUGAUGAAGGUCGUCGGAUCGGAAAAAUAUGUUAUUAGUGAAGAACAAAUGUGUAAGUAACUGUGAACGUAUUGACGGUACCUAAUCAGAAAGCCACGGCUAACUACGUG
rnacentral:rRNA from 1 species